GACCUAAUACAAAAAUUAUCUGGAAAUAGAAAUUUUAUAUACUCUUCCCUUUUCUUUCUUUCUUCUUUUUUAAUGUUUUAAAAUAGUAUUCUGUCAUCAGAAGCAUCAGUGGAGCCUGAUAGAGGCAUCCUAGGAGAAAAGUCAGUGCUGUCCAGGCUAGCAGCAAAGAAAGGUCUCGUGAGGACCUAACGAGAAGAGGGCCAACUGCAAAUCAAGAAGAGAACCCUCAUCAGGAACCCAGUCAGCUGGAACCAUGAUCCUGGACUUCACAGCCUCCAGAAUUGUUACCAAGAACAAAGAAGGAGAGACAUUAAGAAAUGAGAGAGAUACUCAGAGAACCACCUAUUGUAGCAACUGACUGGAUGCUAAGGAAUGAUCCUAGAGGAAUCCGAAAAGAUUGAGAUUUUGAACCUAAGAGACAGAAAUGUAUGUAUUAACAGGGUAUGAAAAUCAGAGGAAAGAUCCGUUGGUAGACUGGGGGGUGAUGUGGAAUUGGAUAGUUCUGACUUUUUUAUCUGUUGAAUUUAAGGUGACGGUUGUCUUUACAGUGUGACAAAAGGCAGGCAUUGGUGAUGCCUGCCUUCCUUGCUGUGGUGUUCCUUGGUUCACUGUGGGCUUUUUACACUUGGGCUGAACAGAUCCAGAUGUGAAAUUAACCUUGACUUAGUAACUGAACUUUAGCAGCUGGUUAGCUACAAAAAGGAAAAAAAAAAAGAGAGGUUUUAAAAUAAAGGGGGUCCCCACCAAAAUUUUUAAGCGAUAUUUUGUGAAAGGGUGGCAAUUUCUACUUAGAGAACAGACCUGUCCCAUAGUCAAUCCUCCACCCAUUCCUUAGGUGAAGAGCUAGGAGAGACAGGAGUCACUAGAAAAUCCCCAAAUGGAGAAGCCAAUUAUCAGGAAGUGGUUCCCAGCAACCACUUAGGGAGCAGCUGAGUUUUGAGGCAGAAGGUGCUUUAUCAGAUAAUAAGCACCUUCCUUGAAAGAUAUGUAUGUUUGCAUAUCCAAAUUGCUACCAUCAACAUAAGUAUUUCAAUGAGGCUUUGUUUUGAAAUUAUAUAGAUUUGCAUUAAAGAAAAUGAAAAAAAAAAUCUGAACUUUAAAAACUAGAAACCAACAACCUAAGACAUUACUUCUAUUUUGACUAUAUUAACAGAAUGCAUGUUUCUUUUUAAAAAAUAUUUGAAAAGCAUCCCAAACAUAGAGAAUGUUAGAGAGGAUAAACUAUCAUCUAUAUUACCUGGAAGCAACAAAUGCCAUAUUUCCUUCACUUUUUAAAAGGAAAUUAAACGUUAAAGAUGUAUUUGAAAGACAGCAAGGGAGAAAGAGGUAGUAACAUAUAAGAGAGCCCCAGUAUGGGUAGCAGCUGACUUCUCAACAGAAACACUACAAGCCAGAAGGGGAUGGCAAGAAAUACUCUAAGCACUGAAAAGCAAAAGCCUGCAACAAAGACUGCUCUGCCCAUCAAGACCCUCAAUUAAAAUGGAAGGUGAAAUAAGGUUUCCCAGACAAAAGAAGGCUAAAAGAACACACCUCCACCAAACCAGCAUUGCAAGAUAUGCUAAAGUGAUUGCUUUAAGAGGAUGAAGAAAGAGAGUCUAUGAAUACCCAGUUCUUUUCACAAUCACCAGUACUUGAUCUUACCAAUAUUUUUAAUACUUAUUAAUCUGAUU